AUUGAACGCUGGCGGCAGGCCUAACACAUGCAAGUCGAGCGGAGAGGCGGACGGGUGAGUAAUGCCUAGGAAUCUGCCUGGUAGUGGGGGAUAACGUCCGGAAACAGGCGAUAAUACCGCAUACUAUCAGAUGAACCUAGGUCGGAUUAGCGCGUUGGUGGGGGAAGGGCCUACCAAGGCGACGAUACGUACCUGGUCUGAGAGGAUGAUCAGGCACACUGGAACUGAGACACGGUCCAGACUCCGACGGGAGGCAGCAGUGGUGAAUUUGGGACAAUGGGGGAAACACUGAUCCAGCCAUCCCGCGUGUAGGAUGAAGGCCUGCGGGGUGUAAAGUACUUGUGGCAGAGAAGCGGUAUCUGCAGAAUAAGCCCCGGCUAACUACGUGCCAGCAGCCGCGGUAAUAC
rnacentral:rRNA from 1 species